AAUUCUAAUUCAUUUUAGGAUAACCCUUUGAACUUAAGCAUAUCAGUAAAAGGAGGAAAAGAAACUAACAAGGAUUUCUUUAGUAGUGGCGAAUGAACAAGAAAGAACUCAUUAUGUAAUCUAUAUUCAUUAUAGAGAUGUUAAAAGUUAUUGUUGUCAUUCAAAUCAUAGAUACAUUAAAUUGUAGUAAAUGAUGACGAUAAAUAAACAAUGUAGAGUACGAUUGCUUGGUAGUGCAAUUGGAAUAUAGAUAGAAUAAAAUAUCUAAAGUUAAAUAUAAAUGACAUACCGAUAGAGAAUAAGUACUGCGAAGGAACUUGUGAAAAUGGUAGUAUUAGCUUAUAGUAAUUAUAAGACCCGUCUUGAAACACGGACCAAGGAGAUUACCAGAUGACAGUAUUAAAGAAUCAUAGGUGAUUUGUCAUCUGGUAAGACCCGAAACAUAGUGAACUAUAUAUGUCAAUGGUUGAAGAUAAACGACCGUUUAUUGGAAGACCUAAGUCAUUCUGACGUGCAAAUCGAUGGUGAAAGAUGUAUAUAGUGGCGAAAGACCAAUCGAACUAUGUGGUAGCUGGUUCACAGCGAAAUGUCUCUUAGGACAGUUGAGUAUAAAUAAAGUAAAUAGAUGUAGAGUCAAUACAAUGUUUAAUUAUAUUGUUUAACUUCUAAUUCUAUAGGUUUGUAUGUUUUAUAAAUACUUACUGAUAUUUACAAUACUCAAGUGGGCGUAUGAUUGUAAGAAUGAUAUGCAAUAAGGGUUAAACCUUGAGAUGCACUAAAAUUUCUAAUUGUAUUAUAAUUAUAAAUAUGAUGAAUACAUUAUGACAGUAGGGCGGUUGUUAUGGAAGUAGAAAUCCGCUAAGAAACGUGUUACAACGUACCUACCGAAUGUAUUAUUGUAUAAAAUGGAUGAAUAUUAUAAUAGUAUUGAAGUGUGUUAAAUAACAAAUAUGUUAUUUGGUAGUUGUGUAAUUUGAAUAUGUUGAAGUAUAUAAGUUAUUAUAUAUUGAAUAAUCAAAUGAGCAGAUCUUGGUGGUAGUAACAUAAUAAUUUGU
rnacentral:ncRNA from 1 species